rnacentral:rRNA from 1 species
AUGGCGACCGGCGCACGGGUGAGUAACACGUAUCCAACCUGCCGAUGACUCGGGGAUAGCCUUUCGAAAGAAAGAUUAAUACCCGAUGGCAUAGUUCUUCCGCAUGGUAGAACUAUUAAAGAAUUUCGGUCAUCGAUGGGGAUGCGUUCCAUUAGGUUGUUGGCGGGGUAACGGCCCACCAAGCCUUCGAUGGAUAGGGGUUCUGAGAGGAAGGUCCCCUACAUUGGAACUGAGACACGGUCCAA